CUUUUCCUCUCUCUUCUCUCAUCUCUAUCCUUUAGAGAGAGGAAACGAUCGAAGCUUCUUAAUCUGAUAACGAUUGCUACUUCAGCAUCUGUUGAUCGUUCACGAUGGCUUCUGAACAGAAUCCUAUGGCUUUCUCAGCAUAGAUGUCUGGCUCUUGUCCGUUAACGUUUGUCUUUUCGACAACGUUUGAUCGGCUCUCUUCUGACACCAUCUUGUUUCUCUUUUACGGUGGUGGUUGGCUUGUGUCUGGCUUCCGUUGGCUUCUACAGUAGCGGUGUUGCUGAAAGCUCCAUCGAUUUAAAUGUUUCACCGAUGUUCUUCGGAGAUUUGGAAUCAAUUGCUUUGGGAAGAUAUUUUCUUUGCAGUUUUGAUGUUGAAGUUUAGUGAGCUUCUCCAAUUAAAAACCGAUAGACUUCUGUGUUUGAAGUUCUAAUGGUUUCCGGUGGUUUUGGAGUUUCCGUUUGUUGCUUACCAUACGAUGAACGGCGACAACAUAAACUUCAUCUCUCAACGUGUUAAACUUUAGUUCAUAGCAUCACAUGUGGCUCUGUGUUGGAAGUUUUAAUGUUUACUUCCUCAAAAGGUUUAGUUUCUAGAUUGAGCUUUCAUAAUAUUAGGCCUUUAAGUUGAAUUUGUUGGUUACAGUUUAAUGUGUGCAGGGCCUGUAAGUGGAAGGUUACACUGUUGUAUUUCUUACGACUUAAGAUAUAAAUAAAGAGCAACACUUAUGAGGAAAAAAAAAAAUCUACAAUACGGUUUUUUUUUUUUUUUUUUUUUU
rnacentral:misc_RNA from 1 species